rnacentral:rRNA from 1 species
AGUGAACGCUGGCGGUAGGCCUAACACAUGCAAGUCGAACGGCAGCACAGUAAGAGCUUGCUCUUACGGGUGGCGAGUGGCGGACGGGUGAGGAAUACAUCGGAAUCUACUUUUUCGUGGGGGAUAACGUAGGGAAACUUACGCUAAUACCGCAUACGACCUACGGGUGAAAGCAGGGGAUCUUCGGACCUUGCGCGAUUGAAUGAGCCGAUGUCGGAUUAGCUAGUUGGCGGGGUAAAGGCCCACCAAGGCGACGAUCCGUAGCUGGUCUGAGAGGAUGAUCGGCCAAACAGGAACUGGAACACGGUCCAGACUCCUACGGGAGGCAGGAGUGGGGAAUUUUGGAAAAUGGGCGAAAGCCUGACCCAGCCAUACCGGGGGGGUGAAGAAGGCCUUCGGGUUGUAAAGCCCUUUUGUGGGGAAAAAAAAGCAGCAGGUUAAAACCCCGCUGUUUUGACGGUACCCAAAGAAAAAGCACCGGCUAACUGCGG